CCUCGAUGUCGGCUCGUCGCAUCCUGGGGCUGGAGUCGGUCCCAAGGGUUGGGCUGUUCGCCCAUUAAAGCGGUACGCGAGCUGGGUUUAGAACGUCGUGAGACAGUUCGGUCCCUAUCCGCUGCGCGCGCAGGAAUAUUGAGAAGGGCUGUCCCUAGUACGAGAGGACCGGGACGGACGAACCUCUGGUGUGCCAGUUGUUCUGCCAAGGGCAUGGCUGGUUGGCUACGUUCGGGAGGGAUAACCGCUGAAAGCAUCUAAGCGGGAAGCCUGCUUCGAGAUGAGUAUUCCCACCUCCUUGAGAGGGUAAGGCUCCCAGUAGACGACUGGGUUGAUAGGCCGGAUAUGGAAGCACGGUAACGUGUGGAGUUGACCGGUACUAAUAGGCCGAGGGCUUGUCCUCAGUUG
rnacentral:rRNA from 1 species